rnacentral:rRNA from 1 species
UACGGAGGGUGCGAGCGUUGUCCGGAAUCAUUGGGCGUAAAGGGCGCGUAGGUGGCGCGGUCAGUUCGUGGUGAAAGCGCGGGGCUCAACCCCGCGUCGGCCAUGAAUACUGCUGGGCUGGAGCACUGUAGAGGCAGGCGGAAUUCCGGGUGUAGCGGUGAAAUGCGCAGAUAUCAGGAAGAACACCCGUGGCGAAGGCGGCUCUCUGGGACGGUACUGACGCUGAGACGCGAAAGCGUGGGGAGCGAACAGG